AAAUUUCUCACCUAAUCACUGCUGCUGCAAUGAUCUGAUCAUUGAAUCGCAAACCUCACUCGGACUCCAUCAGCCUACAUACCUCGUUUGCUGCUCAGCCUGGCCUUGAGAAGUUAU